rfam:Canis lupus familiaris chromosome 31, whole genome shotgun sequence.
GAUGAUUAUUGUGCUCACUUCAACUACUAAAAUCAGAACAAUACAGAGAAGAUUAGAAUGGCUCCUGCAGAAGGAUGACACGCAAAUUCGUGAAACGCUCCAUAUUAAA